UUUGACAACUCCCAAGAAAUCCACCUCCCCACACAUUCCAUUCGUAUAUUCGUAAUUCCACUUAUCACGGGUCUGAUCGGUCUGAUUAUAGGUAAUUAGGGAGUAUGGACCCGUAUGGACAGUCAGACGCAAGGUCUGACAUUUUCGAUGAGUGAAUAUGGCGGAUGUGAGAAGAAUGUUAAUAAGGUUCGGAGAUGUUUAUAGCGAUCCGUGUAUAGGUCCAUUCGCUAAAUGCUAAAUUAUGAAGUGUAUUCGCGAUAUAUGGUGAAACAGCCGCAAAGUACAUCUUUCAUUCGUAAAGAACUGCAACAAAUCACGUCGUUAAUUACUCAGCAUUAGUGGAACUUGGUGUUGAACUGUGCAAGGAAUAGGACGUAAUGCUUUCAUAGUGAUACUUAAAACAAGAAGUAAUAUAGCAAAAUGAAAAAGAAAAUACCCACAGUCUACCAGUAUCGUAGUAUUUUCCGCAGCAAUUUCAAUGAGAAUAUUAAAAUAGACUAUUUCACUGCUCCUGCUGCAAUGUAGACCACUGCUUCAUGCCAUGGAUCUGCUGCUGCUGCUGGCUGUGAUACUGGUGGCUGCAGGGACAGGUGUGGUGGCAACUCUUGCAGUGCAGUGGUAUGUUUUUAACCACUAUAUCAAGUGCCUGCCAUAUGUCGGCCCCCCAGGAGCGCCCAUAUCUGGACACUUCAGUCUUCCUCAGAGUUUGGUGGAUGCUUUGCAGAGCAGCAACAUUCCUAAGCGUGAGAGCUGCCUGGCGCUGAAUCUUCUGUUCCAGUUUCUGUUUAAGGAACUUCAAAAUGCUGAGAAAGUCCGGCGCUGGUUUAGGCACAAGUUGAGCCUUGAAUUUGAAGAACUGCUUACAAGAACAACUACUGGAAAGCUGUUUGAUUGUGUAUCUAUCCGAGAUUUAUGUCUAGGUACUCAGUUUCCAACUAUUAAGAGUGUGUCUGUCAAAGAUGCAGUGCUCCAUCCACAGUACCAACAUAUUGAAACAUUGGAGCUCUGCUUAGAUUUAGAGUAUUCUGGUGGAUUCCAGCUGUCAAUUGAUGCCAAUAUGGUGUUGGGGAAAGCUGCAUAUCUUUCAGUUAAAGUUAAUCACCUCUCAGGUCAAGCAAGGCUGCAGUUUACACGACAUCCAUACACUCAUUGGUCCUUUAGCUUCUUUGGUGAUCCAGUUCUAGAGCUACAAGUUGAGUCCCAGUUCCAAGGUCGUCCACUUCCGCAGAUCACAUCUAUUAUAGUCAGUCAGAUUCGCAGGUCACUGAAGAAGAAGCACACACUCCCAAACUACAAACUGCGCUACAAACCGUUUUUCCCUAAGUCAGAGCCAGGGGAAGAGUUGGAGGAGGCAACAGCAUGCCCUCCUGGAACAUUGCAAGUAACUGUUAUUGAGGUCACUAGACUCAUGGCAGAUCUUGUUGAAGGUGACAUCUACUGUUCACUUGCUGUUGAUUCAACGGCAUGGGUUGAGAUGGUUCAGUCUGAAACAUCGAGCUUUAUGACCCUGGACCUCACACUCAUUAAGAACCCGUUCCAGCAACUCGGCAUGGUGUUCAAGCAGGAGUUUGUUGCAGAACGCUACCAGGCAUGUGUUCUGGUGGAUACUGUGCUGCCACAAUCUCCUGCCAGUGCAGCUGAUGUGAGGCAUGGUGACAUUGUGGUGGCUGUGGAUGGGAAACGUAUCACAUCCAUGGCACAAGCUGCACGUAUCAUCAAGGGAACUGGAGAUAAGUUCACUAUUCGUGUGGAGAGGCAGCUUAAUUUGAGGGUUCAGCCUUCUGAAAGGACAGAUAAAGACAUUAUGAAGCAAGAUGAAGAAGAGCUUGGUCACAUCUCAAACACAGAUGGACAGCUAUCCCUUCCUGGUUCUCCCGUACUUGGCCACUCUGGGCUCAGACAUCGCAGAGGCUCUGGGGACAAAACGGAGAGUGACAGUAGCAGCUCAAGUCCCGCUUCUUUGCCAGGUUCUCCAGCAAAAAGACCCAGUUUGUUCUGUCGAUCUGCUCAUUCAAGCCCAGAACACAAACACAAGCCUCCUGCAUUACCUGUUAAUAAAACAAAGGAUUCCAAAGGUUCAUUCGAUAGAGAUGAUAUAGAUGUGACCACUUCUGAAAAUUACUUGCAAAUCAGCAAGACCAAGGAGUUGCCUCAUGACCAGAUAGUCUUGUUUGAUGAAUCAGUGACAUUCCAAAUCCAUGAAAACCACCGGUAUCUAAAUGUGAGUGCGUGGAGCAAGUCUGAGAAUGGCACAAAGCCAACAGGCAGAGGGGAUCGCGAUGUGUUACUGGGUCACAUCAGCAUACCAUUAUCAUCCAUUGCUUCUGAGUGCUGUGCAACGAAACUUGGACACCACAUCAAGAGCUACUUUCUCCUGCCUCCAGAGCCUCACAUGGCCAUGAGCUGUAACCAUGUGCUAUCUGGGCAUUCAGGGUUUGAGCCAUGUCUGUGCUAUGGUGACAUCUUGCUAUCAUUUUUGUAUAUGGGACAGACUGGUGGUCCCCCAUCCAGACCAACUUUGAGUCCAAUUAAGCUGGUACCUUCCUCAACCCAACUGUUGCUUCCGAGGCCAGAACAGAAUCAGGAGGCGGGCAAGAAGCAGCAUGACUUCAUCAGAACGCAUUUCCACAGAACAACACAAUGUGAAUUCUGUGGAAAGAAGAUCUGGCUGAAAGAUGCAGUGCAGUGUCGUGACUGCGCAAUGACAUGCCAUAAGAAGUGUGUAACAAAGUGUCAGAUGGGUACAGUGUGCACUCCUCAUGGAAGCCACCGACGGGCCUCAGCCCUGCCAGAGGAUGUGGGUCAGACACGAGGCCUAGAAUUGUUAGUACCACCCACCCAGGUGAGACGUGCAUCAGCACAGCCAGAAAUAAUCACAACAGCAGCAGACAAUGGAGACAGGACUCCUCAGGGCCAACGCCGUGGGAUCGGUAGUUUGCUGGCAACAGUGGCAAGUGCAGCUCAGGCUCGCAGUCUGAAGCGGGUUGGCUCAGCAAACAAUCUGGCCCCACCCACCAUGGCUAACUCUAGUCACCUGUCUCGUAGCCUCCCUCCCUCCCCGCAGCAUUCACCAGCAGGCAGUCGUAAGGCAUCCCUAAUUGGAAAUCCAUUCCAGUUUCCACACUCAUUGCUAGACAGUGAUGCCGGAGAUGAUGUGUCAGCAGCACUGGACCACUUGCUGCAGCAUCCCAAUGAUGAUGAUCUCAUGUCUAUCGCAAAGACAACUGGCAAGGAACUGUACUCCAGUCUCUCACCCCCACAACGCAAAGACAAGAUAAACAAAAUGAUUAGCAAGUUAAAAUCAGCAAUAGAUGAAGAGACGCAGCUGCGCAUGGAAUUGGCCCAGAAAGAACAGGAAACCAGGGACCCGUCAGAACAUACAAGAAUAGCGUUUCUUAUUGGCAAAUCAGAUGAGAAGGUCCAGGCAUUGGCUGUGCUCAUGCUUCACUUCUGUGCUGGCCUUCAGCAUACACAGGAUCAGGAAGAAUCAUCAAAGAGAGAAAUUGACUCGGGAUCAGGGGAUGACAUAUCUGUAGAAUGAAGUCAGUGAUUUGGAUCUGUCUGCAGGCAGUUAAGGUAGAGCACAAUGGCAAGAAACAAACAGUGUUUGAUUAAUUUACUUUGUCUUGUAGCAUAAAACUCUUGAGCAGUAAGAUAUGGGCUGUGGUAAUGUUUUCUGUUAGUGGUCCACAGACUGGUAGUGACCCACAGCUUAAUUUAAGUUAGUCUCAAAAUUCUGGUUGAUUUUGUGUAUAUUCAGUCACAAUUGGAAGAAAAUUGCUGUUUUAUUACUAGCAGUCUGCUAGUAGUCAUGCACUGUAUCAGAGAGUCCAGUAAAUACGAUUACCAAUGGAAGACUCAUCUGUAGGUACACUCCUUAAAAUUGUGACAAUAUUUAAAAUCAGUGGCUGUACCCAUAUACCAUAUAUAAAAGAAUUACAUGAAAUAUAAUAAUAACUUCUGCAUAUUUUCCAGAUGGUAUUCCUGUGCAGAAACUGCCUCACUUUCUUGGUUGGUUCAGUGGGUAAUGCUUAACAGGUUAAUUGGUCCAUUGAGAGGGUAGUGGUUGAUAGAUUUUCUGUGAAGAUGGAAGAAAUUGGUUGUCUGAAACUUUGGUACCUAGCCAUUAAACCACAUCCAAGAAGACAGUAAACUUCACAAUAUGAACAAUUACAUUUGGUCCACACUAAAUCUAAUUCAUCAUCAUCAGUUUAUCCACCAUGUGAUUAUAAAUAAGUUAAUAACUGUUUUUGUAGUAACCUUUCCUUUACCAAGUUAUGGCAACGAUAAAUUGGCUAAUAUAGAUAUUUGCAUUUAUUUCAUAAUCAUAGAACCUGAAGAAUAAGCAACAGCAAAUUAGUUUCAUAAAUGAUGGAUGUCCAGAAACCAAGGAAUCAUAGCAAAGUUAGAUAAUAUUUAUGUACAUUUGUACUCAAGUGUUGGUCCUGGAAUGUUGGUUAGUUGUCCUAGGCCUUUUAUGUGUCAGAUUUUGUACUUGAAAUUUCAGGUAAUCAGAUUGCCCUUAUAUUGUAUUUUAUUUUUUUUAAUGAUGCUUUAUCAGUUUAAGAGGUUAUGUGGCACCAGUGGUUUUUAGUAUAAUGGAUGUCUCAAGAUUAGCUGGUAGAAGUUUAUUUUAAAUUGCAUUUAUUGAAAGGCAUAUGUGGUGGCAAUGCAAAUGGAUAUACAGUAAGUGACAGAGAGAUGUGUGUGAAGGUUCAUUUAUGGAAACUGAAUAUUAAUAUUUCAUAUAUUGAGUGCAUUUUCUAAGAAAAUAAGAUUUGAGUGUGCUCUUUUCACCAAAGAGUUACACCGAAAUAUUUUGUCACUACUCUUCUUGUUCACAGAAGUUGUGUUUUAUUCUGUUUGACUGAUUUUUAUAAAGUGAUGUUAUGCUGUAGACGAUAUACAGUUGCUAGUGGAAAAAGGCCAUUUCUGCUGUUACUGGGUUUGCUUGAAUUAGAACACCGAACAUGUUCUAUAAGAUGUCGGAAACAAACAAAUCUGGUUCCUAGAUUGAUUAGUUUGCUCAAAGGUGUUUGUUUCAUUCCAGUAUUUUGUAUACCUAAAACAAGAUGGAUUUGUGUUCUCUUCUAUAAUUUGGUCUGUGUGGCAUGCAUUGCAUAUAGCCCCCUCAGUAAUUGCUUUAGUGUUAAAUUUCAGAGAUCCUUAUAUCUUGCAUAUUAUAUCUCACCAGGUUCAAUACAUUUUGCUUCAAUUUCAAAACUGUUGUACUCCUGGACUGGGAAGUGUUUCUGUGAAUAUUGAACUGAAUUUAACAAUGUUCCAAUUUUGAGGUCUGUUUAUUUGAGGAUAUGAUAGACUCUAGGUCCAUGUUCAGUAUAUUUUUUCUGAAUUUAAAAUUGUCAGAUUCAGUUUGACAUCACUGUUUCACAGAUGUCAUGUUUUAGUCCUGAGGGCUUGAAAGGCUUAAAUAAGACUGUUAUAUUUAUGGUCUUUCAUUCUGGUCCGUCACACUAACCAAUUAACAAUCAAGUUCCUUCCUUCAAAUGUGACACUUUCCUCAUAACCUCUUAAACUGAUAAAGCAUCAUUAAGUGUCACAUUUGACGGAAGGAACUUGAUUGUUAAGACUGUUAUGUUCAAAGCUACAUAUUUACCAUUGUUGACUAUAUACUUGUUUUUUAUUCAAUUUUUAUAUAUCCUUGAUUUAAAAAAAAAGAUAUGUUAUAAUUCAAAGUUAUGUGUAAUAGCUUGAGUCUGAAACAGAAAUGUUGCAGAUUUUAUAAUUUGUAUUUUCUUUACAGCAUUCAGCUAAAGAGAAGCAACUGAAGGUGAUGGAUAGGUAUUCAUAUUCUGAAUACAAUGUUAAUUUAGAAUAUAUUUUAUAGCAGUGUUUGUUCCAUAAGCACUGCUUGUCUUAUGCUGGUUAGGCAGAGUGCCUUAGGUGUUAGUGAUAAGUAAGAUUUUUUUCAGUGUCUAUGCUUAGGCUACAAGUUUAAUGCUAAAUCCAGCUUUCUCUGCUACUGACUUUAAACAAUUUUUUUUUCAUCUAUAAGAACAUAGUUUACUACAUUUCUUACUUCUGUAAUUAACAUAAUUGCGCUUUCAAAUUUAAUUUUACACUACUGACUGGCCUGUAACGUAUAGUUUUAAAGAUACAGACAGUGAAUUCCUGUAAGAUAUUUGUAAUGGGGUGUGGCAGAAUGUAAUUUUGUUAAUAGGUACAAAGGUUGAAGUUCCCUGUUACGCUUCAAUUUUGUGCAUUGAAGAAUGUGUACAGGUUAAUACCCAGUUUAGCCAAUAAUUUCCACAUUGUUUCUUAAAAAGAAUAGCAUUUUUAAGUACUGUGAUAAUAUGAAUAAUACUUAAUUUAUUCUGACAUGGAAUUGAAUGAGAUUGGUGUGGUGUUUGCCUGAAGCAAAGUAUGUGGCAAUUACAGAUACUUUUCUACAUUGAAGAGUGAUUGUAUAGUUAAUCAUUCCUGAAUUAAAUGUAACCUCAGGUUAUGUAGUCUUUAUCUCUGAUGGAUGUGAAUUUUCUAGAAAAUAUUGGUUAAACAGUGGUAUGUCAGAAAGAAAUAUAAUUUAUAUAUAUCUUUUUUUAUUGUCUUGAAUCAUGUAAUGAACACAAAGACUGAUGAAUGACCAUCACAGCCUGAUAUGGGAGACAGACACCAGCAUAUCCAAGAACACCAUUUUGUAGGAUGAUGUAGGCUCAGUGUUGUCAGAGCAGCAGUAGACAGUGUGUGUGUGUCUUCAGUUGUGAAGUCAGUUGUUACAUUUUAAGCCAUUCAUUGUCAGGCAUUUAAAUGUGAUUCUUUGUUCCCAAAGGCCAUGACUAAGUAGACUAACAAAUAUUUCUAUCACAUGUAUAUCAGGAAUUAAUGCAUAUUUUGUUUCUUCAAAGCUUGUACUAUUGUGUGAUUAAUUGAAUAGACAUUUGUGUGAGUGAAUUCUAGGUAGUUUUGCAGGUAGUAAGACGUGAGCACUGAAAGAGCAUGUUCAUUUGAGAAGCACUGACCACUGUUAGCAGUGAGCAUGCUAAUUUGGCACUGUAAUGUGGUUACAUAUUCUUUACAACUUAUCAAAAUGUGUAGCCGAUAAAUUUUACAGUGCGGUAUUGUAGUUCAGUGUUUUUGACUGUCUUUGUGUCAUUAUGAUACAAGAAUAUUUUAGUAUAGAAGAACUAUGUAUCUUGUAUAUGUGUUAAGUGGAUCGAAGACUGAGGGAGUUGUUUCGAACACCAAUACGUUAUGCUUGUAAAGGUGGUUCACUAUUUGCAUGUGUCAUAGAACAGUCUCAUGGGUGCUCUUGAUGGGAAGCAGGUAAGCCAGCACCUGCUUCUUAUUGAAGUGCUCUAAAGCUCCAGACUCCAAAUGAGUUCACUUCUUUAUUUUAGAAAGGAUAAUAUUUACCACUGAUAGAAGUGAUGAAAAACAGACACUUCUUUGAAUCUUCCACUAUCCAGUUUUGGUAAAAGAAAGUUUGUUAAUGAAUAGCUUACAAAUAAUAGUUUAUACCAUUAUACAUUUAAAUGUAGACCUUAUGUGGGAAAUAGUGUAGCUAUAAUUGAUUCUGCAAAUAUUUAUGUAGAAUUCUUAACCUUUUUUGUAAAUGUUUAAGGAUAUUAUUCUUUAAUUUGCUACAAAAUUGGGUACAUAUAUGAGGGUGAGUCAAUAAGUAAGUUACAAAUGGAUAUAGAACUUAAAUAAGAGUACUGAUUUGAAAAAUCCUUUUAUUUC